rnacentral:rRNA from 1 species
CAUGCAAGUCGACGGUAAGGUUCCUUUCGGGGAGCUGAUAGAGUGGCGCACGGGUGAGUAACACGUAACUGAUCUGCCCUUUAGACUGGGAUAACCUUUGGAAACAGAGGCUAAUACUGGAUGAUUUCACGGUAUGUUAGAGAGCCGUGAGAAAAGGCUUAGGCGCUAAGGGAUGAGGUUGCGGGCCAUCAGCUAGUUGGUGAGGUAAAGGCUUACCAAGGCGAUGACGGCUAGGGGAUCUGAGAGGGUGGCCCCCCACACUGGGACUGAGACACGGCCCAGACUCCUACGGGAGGCAGCAGUAAGGGAUAUUGCACAAUGGACGGAAGUCUGAUGCAGCGACGCCGCGUGGGUGAAGAAGGUUUUCGGAUCGUAAAGCCCUUUUCUAUGUGACGAGAGAGGACGGUAGCAUAGGAAUAAGUGUCGGCUAACUACGUGCCAGCAGCCGCGGUAAAACGUAGGACGCGAACGUUAUCCGGAGUUACUGGGCGUAAAGCGCGCGUAGGCGGUUAUUUAAGUUACCUAUGAAAGAUACAGGCUAAACUUGUAUUGGUUAGGUAAAACUGGGUAACUAGAGAGAAAUAGAGGGAAGUAGAAUUCCGGGUGUAGUGGUGAAAUGCGUAGAUAUCCGGAGGAAUACCGGUGGCGAAGGCGGCUUCCUGGAUUUCCACUGACG